GGCUCACAUUGAACGCUGGCGGCAUGCCUUACACAUGCAAGUCGAACGGCAGCACGGGAGCAAUCCUGGUGGCGAGUGGCGAACGGGUGAGUAAUAUAUCGGAACGUGCCCAGUCGUGGGGGAUAACGUAGCGAAAGUUACGCUAAUACCGCAUACGAUCUAAGGAUGAAAGCGGGGGAUCGCAAGACCUCGCGCGAUUGGAGCGGCCGAUAUCAGAUUAGGUAGUUGGUGAGGUAAAGGCUCACCAAGCCAACGAUCUGUAGCUGGUCUGAGAGGACGACCAGCCACACUGGAACUGAGACACGGUCCAGACUCCUACGGGAGGCAGCAGUGGGGAAUUUUGGACAAUGGACGCAAGUCUGAUCCAGCCAUUCCGCGUGCAGGAUGAAGGCCCUCGGGUUGUAAACUGCUUUUGUACGGAACGAAAAGGUUUCUAUUAAUACUAGGAGCUCAUGACGGUACCGUAAGAAUAAGCACCGGCUAACUACGUG
rnacentral:rRNA from 1 species